UAAUUGCAGGUUGCAGCCAAAGGCUUUGAUUUUCGGGUACUUCGCCGCGGUUUGCCCGCUGCCAGGUUCUUCGUCGUGUGUUUCAUAUUUCAGUUUGUCAAGUCUGUUCCAUCUGAUGCGUUUUUAUUUGUUUGCUAUCUUUGUCUCUGUGCCAACAUCAUCAACAGCGACUCAUCGUCAUUGCCAACGUUUCGUUUGACAAUUUUCCGCCUGACAUUCAAGAUUUUAAUCGCUGCCAUUUGCCAUAACUAGAUUCUUGGGGGUUUGUCGUUCGUCGUUUGCCGUUUGAACAGUCUCCGAUUUCUCUCGCUUCAUUUGGUGUGUGCCUCACACACCCUUUGGCCCAAGAAAAUACAGCAGUUUGGAUUCGGAAUUGGAUUCGGUAUGGCUUCAUAAGUGGAAUGGGAAGCUGCGCUCUUCAGCCACACUUGACAUUUCGCCAAUCAAAUUAUUUCACUGGCACAAAUUCACUGUAUAAAUAGUCCGCUCAAAAUGGAAACUUUACAUUCGUAUUCAGCGACUACUCCGAAAAUAAUGAAUUUCUAUCUUGGAUUUCUCUUGGCCGUUGUGCUGCCUCUGCUUGUGUCAGCAGCGAAAGCACCGAAGAGGGAUGACCCUACGACAGCCGCAGCCUAAGCGGAUGAGCUGUGCCACUUCCGUCUGCACGAAGCCUUUGUCGACUUGCCUGAUUCCUGCAGAAAUGUAGAUCAAUAAAGCACGAUCUUUCAAUUUA